CCCGGGUCGCCUUAUGGAGUGAGAUACUCCAAAUUCACAGGCGGUGGAUGCUGUACACCUACAAAAGGCAAUUGCACCUUCAGCUGAGCUUCUACUCGUGAGCGAACCCUGAUUCAGUCUGAAGAGGCAGAAUGUGCAGAGUUUAUGGUCUUCACUUGCAGGGGAAGAGAGCUGGACUUAUUUCCUUGCUUAGCAUCCUGCCAUAAGAUGCAGGGCAUGGAAGAGGCUGCUCUAACUGGUACAUGGAAGAAAGAGGCUGCUCUAACUGUUAUAAGAAAACUGGACAAGUAAAGUUAGCAGAAAGUCAGAGAAGGAAAGCAUGCUGCUUUAUGCACAGAACAGAACAAACUGGGGCAAAAAUUAGGAAAAAUUGUUUCCUGGAAUUAUAACAGUCAUGUUCAGAAAUGUUUCCCUGUUCUGUUUUGACAUUUUUUUUGGAUCAAAGUGAAGCAUUUUGACAUUUCUGAGGUAGGAAUGUUUUGUUUCAAUUUGUUGAACUGACAUGAAAUGUUUAGUUUCAAGUCUGCUUAACAUUAAAAUAGGCAGUGCCUUUCCUUGGGUUUGGGUCCCAUUCUCUCCUCUGGGCUGUGCUCCCUGGGAGCUCUGCCCGGCUCCCAUAAAGCUUGGGCAAGGUCCACGUUGUUCUCAGUGAGUGCUCAGCCACAAGCCCCAAGCACAGGAAAAAAAAAAGAAAAAAAAAAAAAAAAAAAAAAGGCCUUUUUGGGAAAGUUCCUUUCCAUGCUGAACUCAGCUGAGAUGAAAAAACUUGUGGCAGUUGAAGCAAAGCGCUUGGUUCCAGUUCACUGUGACAAACCAUUGUUUGUAGUCAGCAGCAUCCCUGUCUUCCCAUAGGCACUUUCUGAGCUGCAGAAAAUGUUUUCUGAUUAAAAAAGAUGUCCCAGUGAGUUCCCACUAGGUGUUGAUGUGAUUACACCAAUAAGCUCCGGAAGAUUUGCAGGCUGGACCCUUGGAUGUAGUGGAGGAGCUGCCCUUUGGUGUUGGUUGAGCAGAUUGCCCAACAAAAUAAAGACCCUAAAGAUCCCAUUUGCCUGCUUGGGGGCUGGCUGGAGCUGGGGCAGCCUCUGGUUCAGCUGUCCCCAAGGGAGGUGAGAAGGCUGCAAUAGGGACAGGAGUAUAUCCUGGGAAUUCAGCGGACUCUGCUCCAUUCUGCAGGUGGCUCUAAGGUCUUCCUGGGAUUUUUGAUGAAAUUUAUGUCAGAGUCAGUUCAGAAGUUGCUUUGGUUCAUUCUCAACAGCUCUUUAUGGCAUGAAGCAGAUCCUAUUACUUACUGUGAGGGAUAAUUGAGCUCCUUGCCCUCCCCCUUUCCUGGGCAACAGCUUCAAAAGAUCUCUGAUUUUGCUCACCAAUCAAGCAAUCUCAUUUGCAAAACAACUGCAAGGGCCCUGCAAAAGCAGAAGGACAGCUCCUUUGUUAAAGAGUGCCUUUUGGUGACACAAAGGAAUCAUAAAGGUGAUGGAGCUGCAGACUGGACAGCCACAUUUCCUGGACUGUGCAGGCUGGCCUCCCUCCCCUUCCCAGCUGAAAUUUCAGAUCCUGAGUCUAAGGAUUAUGCAAGGCUCGAGCCCAGUGAGAACAAGAUGCACUGCAACUAUUCUUAGCUCCAAAAAUUAUUCCUGGCUUUGCUUUGAAAUCUGAACCAGGGUUAAUUUCUCUCCCCCUUCCCCCGGUCUGUUUCCUCUCCUCUUUCAUGUACCUAUUUGCAUAGACUGUCAUCGUUAGAAUUUCCAUUAAAAUUGAAAGCCUCCUUCCUGCAUGUCACCUCUCACAGCCCCCUUCCGCUUGCCCUGCGUGACUUUUGGAGGGCUGGAGAGCAAAGGUCCUGUGCUAGCAUUGCCUCCCGAGCCCUGCCUUCCCCCUGCCCUCAGUCCUGCUCCUCCAUUGCUAUAGGAACAUCCAUCAACUUGGGAGUGCCAGAGAAAAAGAACAGAGAGCUUUCUUAAUUAUUUAAUGAUUGAUUAAUAUAUGUUUAUAGAGCACUUCAAAACAGUGCAUAAUUUUGUGAAUUGUUUAUUAACAGGGCAAGUGGAAUAAUUUGCUGAACAUCCUCCACUCUCAUUGUUUCAAUGGAAGGAAAGGGUGGUAGGCAGCUUGCAGGUUUUGUAACAGUUAUAUUGCUAAGAACAGUAGUAGUUCUGCUUCAGGAAAAUAAUUUAAGAGCCUUCACCUCAAGUUUUCAGAGGCAGGGCUGCUCUCUCAACACCUGCCACUAAGGUUACUCAAACCUCCAUUAUAAAGACCUAUGUUUAGCUGUUCUUUGGUAAGUUUCACCCACCUGGAAAGAAGGAUUGAGCUUACUUCUAAAGGCUGAAUAAAAAGAGGCAGCGAGUGCUUGCAGCUGAGGGUGAAGCAUGGCUGGCUGGUAUGGGAACCUCAGCUGCCCCACUCUGCUGGGUGAUGGUGUAUUUGCCAGAAGGCCACAGAGGCCUUUUGAUAAAAUUUCUGUGCCUGUAGUAUCAGGCUGGAAGAACUGUGUAAG